rfam:Schistosoma mattheei strain Denwood, Zambia genome assembly, scaffold: SMTD_scaffold0000472
AUCUAGCUGACGAGUCUCAAAUAAAACGAAACAUACGUUCUAGAC